AUUCUAUGGGUCUGAGAAGGGGUCCUGAAUUGUGCAUAUCUUAACACCCCUUAUCACACUUGCUGGUCUGUGGGUUCAUAAUACUUAGGGGCAAGGCUUUCUUGAAGCCCAUUAAAGUUCUUAAAGCCAUGACACAAAUUCCAUAUUUUGUACCUUUGUAUAAGUAAUAACACUCCCCAUCUAGAAUUCAAGUCAACAAAAUGUGGUAGAAAUUGCUUAUGUUAAAGUUUGGGGUGUGAUUCUAGACCCUCCAUUUAGAAUUCUGAGCCUACAUUGUCUUUUUUUGGCUUCAGAAAGGGGCAGUGUGUGAUACCAUUUUUGAGGUUGCCAAGGAGCCCCAUCAUGUGCCCCUACGGCCUCGCCAACCUUGAGGCUAAAAGGAAAAGUUACAUUCUGUUAGGCACAUGGGAAAGCCUCUUAACUUUCUGCCCUUUUUCCAUUCCUUAAGGAAAUCAGAAAUCGAGUACUACGCCAUGUUGGCCAAAACCGGUGUCCAUCACUACAGCGGCCACAACAUCGAGUUGGGCACGGCGUGCGGCAAGUACUACAGGGUGUGCACGCUGGCCAUCAUCGACCCCGGUGAUUCUGAUAUCAUUAGAAGCAUGCCAGAACAGACUGGUGAAAAAUAAAUCCUGCAAUUUUUUUCUUUAAUAAAACUGGCCAGAGCUUGUUUUAAAACA